GAUGAACGCUGGCGGCGUGCCUAACACAUGCAAGUCGAGCGAACAGAUAAGGAGCUUGCUCCCUUGAAGUUAGCGGCGGGCGGGUGAGUAAAACGUGGGUAACCUACCUAUAUGACUGGGAUAACUUCGUGAAACCGGAGCUAAUACCGGAUAAAAUUUAGAACCGCAUGAUUCUAAAGUGAUAGAUGGUUUUGCUAUCACUUAUAGAUGGACCCGCGCCGUAUUAGCUAGUUGGUAAGGUAACGGCUUACCAAGGCGACGAUACGUAGCCGACCUGAGAGGUUGAUCGGCCACACUGGAACUGAGACACGGUCCAGACUCCUACGGGAGGCAGCAGUAGGGAAUCUUCCGCAAUGGGCGAAAUCCUGACGGAGCAACGCCGCGUGGGUGAGGAAGGGUUUCGGCUCGUAAAACUCUUUUAUUAGGGAAGAACAACUGUGUAAGUAACUGUGCACGUCUUGACGGUACCUAAACAGAAAGCCACGGCUAACUACGUG
rnacentral:rRNA from 1 species